UACAGAGGGUGCAAGCGUUGUUCGGAAUUACUGGGCGUAAAGGGCGUGUAGGCGGCUUAACAAGUCAGGUGUGAAAUCCCGGGGGCUCAACUCCGGAAGUGCAUUUGAAACUGCGAAUCUUGAGUCCGAUAGAGGUGGGUGGAAUUCCUAGUGUAGAGGUGAAAUUCGUAGAUAUUAGGAAGAACACCAGUGGCGAAGGCGGCCACUGGAUCGGUACUGACGCUGAGGUGCGAAAGCGUGGGGAGCAAACAGG
rnacentral:rRNA from 1 species